rnacentral:rRNA from 1 species
GAUGAACGCUGGCGGCGUGCCUAAUACAUGCAAGUCGAGCGAACAGACGAGGAGCUUGCUCCUCUGACGUUAGCGGCGGACGGGUGAGUAACACGUGGAUAACCUACCUAUAAGACUGGGAUAACUUCGGGAAACCGGAGCUAAUACCGGAUAAUAUAUUGAACCGCAUGGUUCAAUAGUGAAAGACGGUUUUGCUGUCACUUAUAGAUGGAUCCGCGCCGCAUUAGCUAGUUGGUAAGGUAACGGCUUACCAAGGCGACGAUGCGUAGCCGACCUGAGAGGGUGAUCGGCCACACUGGAACUGAGACACGGUCCAGACUCCUACGGGAGGCAGCAGUAGGGAAUCUUCCGCAAUGGGCGAAAGCCUGACAGAGCAACGCCGCGUGAGUGAUGAAGGUCUUCGGAUCGUAAAACUCUGUUAUUAGAGAAGAACAAAUGUGUAAGUAACUAUGCACGUCUUGACGGUACCUAAUCAGAAAGCCACGGCUAACUACGUG